GCACCGUUAGCUCAGCUGGAUAGAGCGUCUGGCUACGGACCAGAAGGUCAGGGGUUCGAAUCCUCCACGGUGCA
rnacentral:tRNA from 1 species